AUCCUCCUAAACGCUGGUCUUGGGGAUGGUAAAAGGAGGAAAACGAACACUGAAGCUGGUCUCACAGUGCUUUCAGUCUGAUACACAGCCUGUGGGCUAGUUUCAAACCAGA
ensembl:snoRNA